AUUCCGCACAAGGGUUCUUCAACCCUUAAAUAGCCGCGUAUUCAAACUAGCCGAUCAUACGCUCCUUGCCUUCGUCACAUCCGUUCCAUCCAAGCAGUGUGGAAGAGGAAGUGAGAUUUGGCAGAUUACUGGUUCCGGUUCAAUCUUCUGAACCAACCGCGAAACCUUCGCCAAUCGAUGAUAUCCGUAAUGGAUUGUCUUCUUAUUCUCGCAGUCGGGGCAUCUCUGCCGGUUGAGGGCACCGGCCUUCCUCCGGUGGAGCUCUGCCUUGUUCUGACACCAACAACAAGCACUGAUUACCUGCGUUGCGUUUGCGUGACGCAUCCACAGAUCCGACAGAGUUUGGAUUCCGCACAAGGGUUCUUCAACCCUUAAAUAGCCGCGUAUUCAAACUAGCCGAUCAUACGCUCCUUGCCUUCGUCACAUCCGUUCCAUCCAAGCAGUGUGGAAGAGGAAGUGAGAUUUGGCAGAUUACUGGUUCCGGUUCAAUCUUCUGAACCAACCGCGAAACCUUCGCCAAUCGAUGAUAUCCGUAAUGGAUUGUCUUCUUAUUCUCGCAGUCGGGC